rnacentral:rRNA from 1 species
GACGAACGCUGGCGGCGUGCCUAAUACAUGCAAGUAGGACGCAGUUGCGAACGGGUGAGUAACGCGUAGGUAACUACCUAUUAGAGGGGGAUAACUAUUGGAAACGAUAGCUAAUACCACAUACUAGUAGAUGGACCUGCGUUGUAUUAGCUAGUGGGUAGGGUAAUGGCCUACCAAGGCAACGUUACAUAGCCGACCGGAGAGGGUGAACGGCCCAAAUGGGACUGGGACACGGCCCAGACUCCUACGGGAGGCAGCAGUAGGGAAUCUUCGGCAAUGGGGGGAACCCUGACCGAGCAACGCCGCGUGAGUGAAGAAGGUUUUCGGGUCGUAAAGCUCUGUUGUUAAGGAAGCGGUACUUAACCAGAAAGGGACGGCUAACUACGUGCCAGCAGCCGCGGUAAUAC